GGACCGUUAAAAUGGGAAAAAAACUGUAAUUUGGCAUUAUGAUUAGAAAGAUCAUAUCUUAGAAAACAUGUGUACUUAGUUUCAAGUUAAUUGGACUUCAACGUCAUCAAAAACCUCCUCGACCAAAAACUUUAACCUGAGAUGGAGCAGACGAACGGAAAAGCAAACGAACGGACGCACAGACCAGAAAACAUAAUGCCCA
rnacentral:lncRNA from 1 species